ACCUCCUUUUGUUGGAGAGUUGUUGCGUGUAGAAAUUUUCUCGUGACAGUAGCAGAAGCCGAUAGAAUAGUGGAUUACGUGACACGAUAUGAAUGGAGACAGCUCGCGGAAAUUGCGAUAUAUCCUCAUUUGUAACUUUUUCUUAAACAUCAGCAUUUUUGCAAUAUGCACUUUACAGCAGAGAGACCAGUACUCCGAGGCCAGCUCCUUGGGAGGAACAAAAAUAUUUGACAAUGAGUUAGCAUCUGCUGUGACACAUGAAAAUGUAAAAGACAUUGAUUCUGUAGAGGAGGACCAAGGUAUAAAAUUAGACAUAUUACAGCCAUACAAAGGUCAUCAUGGUCCCAAACAUCGAACACAUCGUCAGGUGCGAGAGUGCCAGGAUGUUAGAUACGGAAACGUAACUCAUUCCAAGCUUUUAUCUUAUGGAUUCCGUGGAAAUAUAAGUCUUCCCAUAGCCGACACGAGGCACAUCAUCCACGUCAUACAAGAAAACUAUUACUUACGUCGAGAUGUACUGAUGCAUCUUUCUGUGAUAAAUAACCCCUUCUUAACAGUGUCAGUUCUUGAACCAGAGACAGACAACGGAUGUGAGAAGGAUUUGAGAGCCACGGUGCUGGAAUCUGCUAAACAAGAGCAGUGUAUUGUGGCCAUUAAUGCCGGCUUCUUUAACACAACCAGUGGAGCUUGUAAAGGAAAUCUUGUCAGCAAUGGAAGAAUAGUGCAUGACACAGGAGGAAUUCAGAAUGCCCACUUUGGAAUUACAAAAGAUGGAUACCUCUUUAUUGGGUAUCUGUCAGAGAUUGAUUUGGUCACUCAGGACUUCCAACAGCUGGUGGGUGGGGUGCUGUGGCUGAUCCGGGACGGAAAAUCCUACCUGGAGGAGAGUAUAAAAAUAGAAUGCUCCGACACUGAGGAAACAGGUACCCUGGAGUAUUUUGCCUCCGUUAUGUCUGCACGGACAGUAGUGGGACAUGACAGAGAGGGGCGGGUCAUCUUCAUGCAGGCCGACGGCAAGACGGGAGAAAACGGACUAAGUCUGAAGGAGUUUGUUGAAGUGAUGCUACAGUAUGGAAUAGUGAAUGCUGUUAAUCUAGACGGAGGAGGGUCAGCUACCUACACUGUGAAUGGGACCCUCGUAAACUACCCCUCAGAUCAGUGCGUGGAUGACAAAAGAUUUAACUGUGCUAGAAAUGUGUCCACCAUCCUCUGUGCUCAUCUACCGCGAUGUCCAGAGGUCAACUGUUCAGGUCACGGUCAGUGUGUCCUUGGUCAGUGUCAAUGUCAAGGACACUGGACAGGAAGUAGAUGUGAUCAGCUGAUCUGUAGCAAUAACUGUAGCGGUCAGGGAACAUGUACUCCAGGUAAAGUGGUGUGUUUACAAUGUAUAGAGAAAUUGUAGUUUUCUACGCUGUGAUAUUGAUGGUCUCUAGCACAUAUCUAAUAAUGAAAAAUAACAAUAAAAUUAUUGCAAAAUAUACUGUAUGCAGGGAAAUAUUUGCCCCUGUUUUAUUUUCACCUAUUUCGCCCUUGUUGUCAGCGGAGGAAUUUAAAACUAGGCAAAUUAAAACAUGAUUUUAAAUGGAAGAGUUCCAACGCACACUCAUACUUUAUACAACAAAAUGUGACAAUGUAUGUGACGUAUAUAAAUUUUCUGCACUUGAUAUUACAAAUGUUUGUAUAAACAGUAAUAAAAUGCGUUUAAGCUUUUUGAAAUAUUUCCUUUUACGCUUCUAAAUAUCUCAUUUGUCAUUUUAAAAAAUUGUACGAGUUUACUAAGACGGUCAACUCUUUACAUUGAUUCCUAUUGUGACAUCAGCAAACCCGCGAGCUACGUUUAUUUGAACAAUAGGGCUGCUCCUGUAAUGCUGGUCGGCAUGGUGAUGACUGCAGUAGCAGCUGUCCCCAGGGGUUCUAUGGAGCAGGGUGUAGCCACCCCUGCUCCUGUCUGAGUGGUGCAGACUGUGACCCAGUUAGAGGGGCCUGUCUCUGCCCCCCGGGUCGAACAGGGACUCUCUGUCAGAAUGCUUGUCCCUAUGGUUACUAUGGCGACUCCUGUAAGGAGCAGUGUUUCUGUGAUGACGGUUGCCCGUGUCACCCGGUAACAGGAAGUUGUAACUUCUCCCAGUUACACAGCGACAUUCUCCAAGCAAGUGUCUGUUAUUCUCAGAAAAAAAUCAAAGCCGAGCAUCUAGUCCCUGACCAAUCUAGUGUCUACAGGUCCUGUCUCCUGGCUUUGGUCGUAAUCAGUGUCUUAGCAGGCCUAAGUAUUUUAAUGAACAUUGUCCUUGCCUACAAAGUGUACACCAAGAAGAAGCACAAGAGUCCGCGGCGUAAGAAGGCCGUCCUCACAAACUCCAAACAGCUGUACAAGUUCCCGGUGUCCGACACCGACGAGGAUCUCUCCUCAUUCAGCGACUAUCCCAUGGAGCAAACCAGCUUCAUCAAGAAACCAAAGGGGUACUCCUAGCCCUCAUAGAGGUCCACGGAGAGGGAGAGGGUAUCGUUCUAGUUGUGACAGAAGCUGGCAGUGGGAGGAAGAGAGGGGACAGUCAUAGCUCUGAAAGCAGGGGUAUUCAUACCUCUGACAAUUCCUGUGAUGGAAAAGAGAUAGGGGGCUUCCACAUCCCUGAUAAAAUCAUGUGAUUUGGAGCCAGGGGUACUCUAAGCUCUGCUAAGUGCUGUGAUGGAAAAAAAGAUAGGGGGCUUCCGUAUCCCUGAUAAAAUCAUGUGAUUUGGAGCCAGGGGUACUCUUAGCUCUGAAUCACAUGUAGUUAGAUGAUUAAAUGAUUACCUUUAAUAUGGACCAGUGACCUAAACUCAUGUUCUACAUUGUAUAUGUAUAAUACCGUACAUGUUCUUUAAUUUAAAGGUAUAUGUAAAAUACAGGCAAGUAUUUGUAUUGAAAAGUUAUAUUGGAACGUUUACAAAAUUGAUUUUAAAAAAAAUAGUGUUUGGC
rnacentral:misc_RNA from 1 species